AUUGAACGCUGGCGGCAUGCUUUACACAUGCAAGUCGAACGGCAGCACGGGUGCUUGCACCUGGUGGCGAGUGGCGGACGGGUGAGUAAUACAUCGGAACGUAUCCAGAAGAGGGGGAUAACGCAUCGAAAGAUGUGCUAAUACCGCAUAUUCUCUGAGGAGGAAAGCAGGGGAUCGAAAGACCUUGCGCUUUGGGAGCGGCCGAUGUCUGAUUAGCUAGUUGGUGGGGUAAAGGCCUACCAAGGCGACGAUCAGUAGUUGGUCUGAGAGGACGACCAGCCACACUGGGACUGAGACACGGCCCAGACUCCUACGGGAGGCAGCAGUGGGGAAUUUUGGACAAUGGGCGCAAGCCUGAUCCAGCAAUGCCGCGUGAGUGAAGAAGGCCUCGGUU
rnacentral:rRNA from 1 species